AGGGGGAGGAUAAACACAGACCACCCAGUGCAGUCCCUGGUCUAGUGGCAGAAACGGGGGUGCAGUUCGCUGAGAAGUAGCUGUCGCACAAGCAGCACGGGGAGCCCUGAGUGCCACCUCCUGCAGACACACGGGGACACCUGGGUCCCCUCCUCCCCUGAGCACCACCUCCUGCAGACACACGGGGACCUGGGUCCCCUCCUCCCUUUAUCGGGCUGUCCGGCAGCUGCUUGCAGAUGUGCAUUUCUCCUGAAAAUCAGCUAAGCCUGCAGGAUUCUCAGCUUUAAAACAGAAACAAAAACCCCUCCGUGGAUCUGCCGGCACUGGGCCUGCAUUUCCGCGGCCGGAGCUGCCGGCAGGCACCGCCCCGUUUGCACACCGCCCUGCCCGCUUCGUUGUCUGUCACCUUCCCGGCCUGUUGGCCCCUGAAUUGAACCCUGCUUCCCGGCAGGAAUUACCCUCCAUUUCCGGUCUGUCCCGCUCGCUAGCCCCGCCUGUGGCCGCACGCUUCCGCGGAGCUCUGCUCACGGCUGGCCUGGUCCGAAGUGUCUCGGCUGCACCCGCUCCUCACCAGGGCACCCACUCUCUUCCGGUUCUCUUCCACACUCAACGCAGACGCAUCCUGCCAGGGCCACCGGUGCCCGGGAGUCACUGUAUCCGUCUCCCGUGCGCACCUGGGCCGCCCCGCAGACCCGACACCGUCACCGGCCACCCCUUCCUCUGUGCACCCCCUUCACACAUGGCUUUGCCACGUGCGCCCGGGUUCCCUCCUGCCCGGUCUUCCCAUCCAGCUCUCCCUCCUCGGCCCGGGUGUUACGUGUCCCACGCAGAUUCUCCUCUGGUCCCCGGCCUUCGAGACGGCCCACACGUUGAGGGACCCGAAAUCCACGUGUGUGCAGCAUUCCUGUCUUCUAGCUGCACGUGCGUACGUCCCCACAUUCCCUUGACGUGCGCGGCAGGCCACUCGUGUGCAGCAAAGUCAGCGAGCCAGGAGCAAGCUGUUCCCUCAUUCCGGAACUCCCUAGGCGUUUCCGACUUAGUAAACGGAACCCCGGUCCAUCGACUUAGUCAUCCCUUAUAUUCUGUCUCCUUCACUCCCCUCGUAUCUGACCCAUCACUAACCUGUUCAUUUCUUGCCCAGAAUCCCCUGGAUUGCCUGGAAUCCAUCUGCUUUUCCCAUCUCCACAGCCUCCAUCCCAAGGGAACACAGCAUCGUGUCUUGCCUGGUGCCUGCACAGCCCCCUGACCGGUCUAGUGGCUUCCACAGAUGUUCCCUCACCCCCUCUGCACUCCUGGGGCAGACUGAAUGAGCUUUUAAAGAAACACGUCUCGUCCUUUGCCCCUUCUGCUGGGGACCUGCCCUGCUCCCCUCACACCUGAUUGUUGAAGCACGUGUGGACGACUCACCAGGCCCUUGUCGGCGCAUCGGCAGACUGGAAACGCUGCUCGCCCUUUCCACGUGGACCAGUGUCCUCACGCCGGGGCCUGGCCAGGGGCUCGCUCCCCAUGUCUGAGGGCGCCGAGUCCCCGCUGCGGCCGCUGGCUCAGGGCCCAGCUGGGGUCCGACGGAGGGGACGGCAGAGCGGGGCUGCAGUGCAGGAGUGCUUCCUGGUGGCGAUGGUGAGGCGGCCUCCUGAGGACGCGGGUGAUGGGGCGGCGUCUCCCCUCCACUCUCCUCUCGUGUCUUCAUCGGUGCCCACUGGCUGGAGCAAGAGUGGAGAGCGACUGAAGACCAGCUCACGUGGACUGGCUCCUGUGAGGCUCGCACAGGCCGGCUAGUUUCGCAAGAGAAGUGAGGGAGGUCGCGAAAGCCGGAGGACUUGUAGCCGAGUGCUCACCGUCCGUGUGCUUCCUGCGGCUCCCUGCCCGCCCCGAUCGCCACCCUCCCCGGGCCCGUCAUCACAGCUCGGCUCAGGCGUCUCUGGCGGAUGAGAAAUCGGGUGGUGGUUUGUUGGCGCCCAGCUCGGGAGGGAACCGGGCGGUCGACGGAACACGCGGAGGCUCUGCAGGGCAAGUAGCUGAACUCUGUGAAGCUGAGAGCUUCGAUUUGGGUUAGAAUUCCCAGAAAAGAACACCUCAGACAUACAGAGGUGUCGGGCCCUGAGGCGAUUUCCUCCCUGAGUACCUCCCCUGGGGGGGUCACUGACCCCCUCUGCAGGUCCUUCGAUGGGACUCCCAGGUGCGUGUGCACGUGUGCACGCACACACACGCUCACGGGCAUGGCAAGCACCACAGGUAUCCGUGGAUUCAUCGACCUGAAAUGGAGGCCUUCGCGGGUCUCACCCCCCCCCCCCCCCCCGCCGGCCUCCAUGGUCAGGGGCACCCAUCUCAGAGCCUGUGGCGGGACGGGGCCACGAGACAGCGACGUGUCAGCUCAGUCCAGCCUGCAGUGCUCCAUGUGGGCUGCACAGGGUUAGAGAGGACACCAGACGAGACGUCAGCGCUCCACGUUGAGUCUUUCUUGAACAAGCCGGCAACCCAGACUCUGUCCUUACUGGCAGCACUUGGCUGGAGCCAAGCAGCUCGAGUGCCCGGCACGGCGCAGGGGGGAACCCCGCACUGGCCCCGAGGGGGGCUCUCUGCACGUGCGGCGGGGCUGGCUUCUCGCAGGCCCAACACCUCCGUCUGUCUUUGCGUCAGCUUCCCCGGAAUGAGUUUCCUCAGGGCUGGAGAAUCGCAUCUUUCAUUCUGCUCGGGUGGGAACCAGCUGGGGGCCUAAACACAGAGCCUGUGGGUGGCGGGGCCCUCUUGACCUUCAGUUACUAAUUAAGCCAGUGCCAGAGGCUGACCCGGGGCACGGGGACACGGCGCUGCAGGAGCGGCCCUCUCGCAGAGGCUUCUUCCCGCGGCGUCCGCCCUGGUCUUGCUCUGACCUGCUGACAACCUGAGGCGGGGGGAUGAGUGCCAAGGGAGCACCUGAUCCUGGGCUGGCAGGUGUGCGGGGGGUGCAAACACCCCUGUCCCCUGGGAAUCUGCGACAGUAUCGGGGACAGUUCCAAAGAGUAAGGUCAUCAUAUACAUUAGCCUCAUACAUCAAGCAUCCUAUCUUACGUCGCAUGACCAUGUCCCUUUCAUCCUAACCGCUCAUGAGGAAGACACUCACGGCCUGUUUCCAUAGGGAGACCCUGGAGGCUCCGAGAGGGUCAGGCACUUCCUUGAGGCCACACAGCGGGUCUGGGGCGGCCCCGGGAACAGAGCCAGGCAUCCCGUGGCCCCAGAGCCCAAGAUAUGCCUGCUGGCUGUCUCCUCACCCUCGUUCUCCCGCCUCUGAACACACACGCUCAGCCAGGUGCUGGGCUCCUGCCGCGUGCCUCAGAGACCGCAGAGAGUGGGGACCCUCUUCUCGGACAGACCCUCUGUCACUGCCCCAGGGGGGCGGCCCCUGCCGGACGGAGGGGGACGUGGGAAGAAACGGCGGGGGAGCCUCCAGCGUGGAGUUCGGGGAAAGGUCCUCCGUGCUCCCCCGUGUUCCUGCCGAUGGGUGCUGGGGCCAGUUCUGCUAUUCUGUCAAGGCCGCAGAGAAUAGCCUCACACCUGACCUACUGUGCACACGUGAGAGCCUCCCUGUAGGAGAAAGUCCUAGAACAUCCUUCGGCACUUGGUGAGUCCUGGAGAAAUACUCAUUACGUGGAUGAGUUUAUCUAAGUCCGGCUGUGAUCAGCAGGGUCACACGUGCGGUCACUCAUAGAUGCGCCUGGUGGAUUCUCCUUGCCCUUCCCCAUCCGCCUACACGUUCGUCACACCGUCACAUCACCGUGACAUCACCAUUACCGCGACCUCUACCGCUGCAUCACCACCAUGACCAUCAUCACCACUGUCGCCGCCACCAUAAGCGCCAUCAUCACGAUAACCACCGUGGCCCUCGCCACCAUCCCCAUCGUCACCGCCAUCAUCAUCACCACCAUCACCAUCCCCAUCGUCACCACCAUCACCAUCAUCGUCGUCGUCAUUCUCACAGUGAACACCUAUUGGACACUUCCGUUCGCACGGAGCUGGGCUACAUCCUUUGCACACGUUCACGUACCUCAACUUCCCCCCCACUCACUUGUUGAGUGAGCUCGGUUACUCAGCAACUCUCAGGAGGGAUCUCACUCACCUUGGAUGCUCUACGUCCGAUAGUCAUUCUCCUCCUGCAUUAUCCUCCCAGUAGCACGCAUUGAAUGCUUACUGUUGACCAGGAAGGAUAAGCUACUCAAGUAGUUCUCACAGGAGGGCCGUUGUCAUUCCCGUUUUAUACGAGAGGCAGCUGAGCCCCCAGGGAGGUAAACUCACCUUCCCAACACCAACCAGCCACGGAGAGCAGAGCCUGCAUUUGGACCAGGGAGUCUGGCCCCACGGUAGGGGUCAUUAGGACCACCCCGCUGCCGGACACACGGGCCAGUACCCUGUGAUCUGGCCCCUCCUCCGUACAGAGACCGUCUCCCAAGUAUCCGGAGACCCAGCAAGCGGGAGAGCCGUGGGGCAAACGCGUGGGCGUCGGAUCCCAGAUGGAAGAAUGUCGCACCGAGAUGUGCUUGAGCUGGGAAAACGUGUCCAGGAAGCAGACACUCUGAUCGGGCACAAGGCUGGCGGUUCCUCGGACGACUGUGUGAGGCUCCCGCUGCAGACGUCUUAGCAUCUUGCCGGGAGCCUCUGCGGCUCGCUUCCCUUCACUGCAGGGGAGCAGACAGAGAGGCUCAGGUGCUCAGGUGCCGAACGGACAGAGCCCCGAGGACGCGCCAUGUCCCCUGUAGCCAGAGUAGGUGGUUUCCAGAAAUAGACUCGGAUGCCUACGGUUUCACCUCCAAAUUCUCGUGUGUGUGCACGUGUGCGUGUGCGUGGAGGACGCUGUGUUUCCAAAACAA